GGAGAGGUGGCCGAGAGGCCGAAGGCGCUCCCCUGCUAAGGGAGUACAGGUCACAAGCCUGUCGAGGGUUCGAAUCCCUCCCUCUCCG
rnacentral:tRNA from 1 species